AUCUCCUCAGCAUAUUUUCCACUACAUGCAUCCAAUUAAGUGCUCUGUAGCCCACGAGAGCUUAUGCUCAAAUAAAUUUGUUAAUCUCUAAGGU